CGUCUAUAUACGUAUAGCAUAUCAAUAAGCGGAGGAAAAGAAACUAACAAGGAUUCCCUUAGUAACGGCGAGUGAAGCGGGAAGAGCUCAAAUUUGAAAUCUUCAAGGUUUUACCUUGACGAAUUGUAGUUUAAAGAAGUGUUUUCUGUUGGAAUUUUGGUAAAAGUUCUUUGGAAAAGGACAUCAUAGAGGGUGAGAAUCCCGUAUUUGGUUAUUCAUUCUAGCUUUGUGAUACACUUCCAAAGAGUCGGAUUGUUUGGGAAUGCAGUCCAAAAUGGGUGGUAAAUUUCAUCUAAAGCUAAAUAUUGGCGAGAGACCGAUAGCGAACAAGUACCGUGAGGGAAAGAUGAAAAGAACUUUGAAAAGAGAGUUAAACAGUACGUGAAAUUGUCAAAAGGGAAGCGUUUGACACCAGUGUUGUUUUCUCGAAAAUCAAUUAAAAAAGACCGGAUUUUGUGUUGUAUUGACUUUAUCAGCUUUCUGCACUUUUUUCUUGUCUUUUUUAGUGCACUUUUCGUUUAACAAGUCAACAUCAAUUUCUUUUGUUGUAAAAGGGUCAUUGGAAGGUGGCUUUCUUUUCGGAGAAAGUGUUUAUAGCCUUUGGCCUCUGCAAUCGGAGAGAUUGAGGUCUGCAGCGUAGAUCCUUCGGGGUUAGAUACAGUUAGAUGCUAAGUUAUAGCCUUUUCAUAGACAACUUGUUGACUAUGAUCAGUCAUGUAGCUUACUCGCUUAUGCUAUUUUACCUACGCUUAGGAUGUUGACUGAUAUGUAGUCGUA
rnacentral:rRNA from 1 species